rnacentral:rRNA from 1 species
UGAGGAAUAUUGGUCAAUGGACGAGAGUCUGAACCAGCCAAGUAGCGUGCAGGAUGACGGCCCUAUGGGUUGUAAACUGCUUUUGUUUGGGAAUAAUCGACAUUACGUGUAAUGUUUUGCAUGUACCAUUCGAAUAAGGACCGGCUAAUUCCGUGCCAGCAGCCGCGGUAAUACGGAAGGUCCAGGCGUUAUCCGGAUUUAUUGGGUUUAAAGGGAGUGUAGGCGGUUGGUUAAGCGUGUUGUGAAAUGUAGAUGCUCAACAUCUGACUUGCAGCGCGAACUGGCUGACUUGAGUACACACAACGUAGGCGGAAUUCAUGGUGUAGCGGUGAAAUGCUUAGAUAUCAUGAAGAACUCCGAUUGCGAAGGCAGCUUACGGGAGUGUACUGACGCUUAAGCUCGAAGGUGCGGGUAUCGAACAGG